GAGGGUUUAGCUCAGUGGUAGAGCACUUGCCUAGCAAGCAUGAGGCCCGAGGUUCAAAUCCCAAUACCAACU
rnacentral:tRNA from 1 species